GCCCCUGUGGUGUAGCCCGGUCAAUCAUUCCGGAUUUUCGAUCCGAAGACUCGAGUUCAAAUCUCGGCAGGGGCGCCA
rnacentral:tRNA from 1 species